rnacentral:lncRNA from 1 species
GUUGCUGAAUAUUGUGAUGAUGUUGUUUAUCUUUAAGAUCAGGAAUAAUGAAGCUAAGAUUAGGCUAAACACAAUCUUAUAAAAGUUUAGACAUCAAGCUGGAAGGCUUAAUUUGAUUCAAAUUUGGGUUUGAUAUUAAAAGGCAGGAAUGGGACUGGAAUUUUCUACUUUUAUGAUGGACAAUAAAAAGUAGACAUGAGUUAUUUUCUAGUCACAUAGUUAGAUGCAAAGUUGAAACAGUUUUUUUUCAUUAUGUCUAAAAUUGUGCGUGCAUGUGUUUAAACUUUAACUAAUAAUUGAAAUCACAACUAGAACAUGUAGAAGAAUCAAGAUUUUUUUUUAAUUGACACAUAUAU